rnacentral:lncRNA from 1 species
AGUCUGCCUGGCAUCUCUCUGGACACUCCAUCAAUAUCCUUGUCUUCCGUAUGUUUCAGGGUGGGGAGGAGUGAGCCAUGAACUCAACGGCCUGCCUUCUUCAAUACUUCACAUCCUAAAGUGCUUUGUGGUCAACAUUUUUCACUAAGGCCAGAAAAGAUGAAAGACUGAUUUUUCACCCGUGGCCCUGCCCUUCUGCGUGUGAGAAACAGGUGUGCAAGGAUGGUGGAACACACAAACCAAACUCGGAUCCUCGCCGUUUCAGACUGCGCGCCCCGCGCAUCUGCGCCUGCGCACCCCGAGGCGGGCAUGCGCAGGGGGAGCGCGGUUGCCUGGGAGACCCUGUUACCUGGGCGCCUGAGGACCAGCAAGUUGGGCUCUGCCACCUCUGUGAUGCCACUCGGCGGGGUCCGGGCACCCAGCGCUGAGGGCCACCCAGGCAGGACUUGCCUCUUCAGCCUGGGCCCUGAAGUUUGAUAAUGAAGAUAUCGCCAAAGGUUAGAAACAAAAUCACCUAGAGGAAGUGCUGGUAGUAUGGCGUGUGGAAGUGCACAAAUCUCUAGAGCAGACAGCUUUGUUAUAGGGGUAAGUAGUAUUCCACUUUCAUGAUCAUAAACUAUUCCAGUUUUUGAAAGGGUGGUAUUAAUUGGAGACUGGAUAAAGAUGUGGUUUUUUUAUAAAAUGGAGUACUACUCAGCCAUAAAGAAUGAGAAACUAGAGACAUUUAUAGCUAAAGGGAUGCAUAUUGAGGCCAUCCUCUUAAGUGAAAUAAAUAGGACACACACAUGUAAUACCGAAUAGAUUCUCUGGUGUGAGAAACUAAAAGUGUAAAUAAGGAUCAAAAUGUAUAAUAGAUAUUGUGAAAUAGGAAGAAAAGGUCUAAAAGGGUAGGGAAAGUGGGAGGGGUAAGGGAAAGGAAAGAAGGGAAAAGAAAAAAUAUGAGAAAAGAAAAAAAUGGAAACAAAGUCUUGCAAAUAGAGAAGGGUGGAGGGGAUGAAGGGAGGGCCGGGGAAUGGGGAAAAAAUAAGAACCAAGAUGCAUCAUGUAGAGGUACAAGAUCCCAAUGAUGAAUGUAACUGUAUUGCAUACCUAAAAUGUACCAAUAAAUAAACUUAAUUUUAAAAAAGGGUGGUAACGUUGGAUCUGGAAAAGGGCAGAUUUAGUUCAAUCAGAGGAUAAAAGAUAAUUUUUUUAAAUGUAGAUUGUCUUCUAUAAAUUUUGAUUGAUCUCAUGUCUCUCUUCAUAAACAAAAAUGUACUUAGAAGUAAUUGUACUAACCAAACACACACAUGCAGGAUAGUAGAGAAAGCAAAAUAAGUAGUAAAAUUUUAGAAAGAGAAUAUAUAUAUUGAGAAUAUGUAUAUUGAGAGGAACAUAUUGUUACUAUUUUUAUAUCUGUGCGUUAAAAUGAUUAUAAAUUCAUUUGUUCUAGUAAGCUAUAAACCUGUUAAAUUACAGACCAUUUAUCUAGUUCUCUCAGUAAACAUCAAGGAAUUACGAGGAUCAUGCACUUUGAAAUCUGCAGAGGAGAAAACAUUCUCACUAACUUUAACGUCUCCUUUCAAUCUGGGUACUGUGUAGACCAGUUGUCCAAGUCUGCUUCCUGAUUGUUAGCAGAGGUACUUACUUAAUUUCUGAGAUCAAAGACAACCUUGGGAAUGGAAUGAAACCCAUGAGUCUUCUCCCAGAAGUGCCCUUCCUUUUUCUGCAUGAGAAGUUUAACUUCCUGGAACCAGUUCAUUGGCUCUUGAGUAAGAACCAUUUUUAAAUUUUAAAAACCCAUCUUGUCAUCCACACACUUCCAAAGCCUUGACUAUUUGGAAUUUCAUAGCCUUAUAGAACAGUGUUCAGUGAUAUAGAGACAUUCUUUUUCACCCUUUUAACCAUGGGGAUUAAUUCUCUUGACAGCAAUAUGCCUACACAACAGGUAUUCACUGAGGGCCUGCCCUGCAUGGAGCACCACACCAUAGGGAGAAAUCCAAAGUCCGGCCCUCAGGGGCUUUCAAUCUAGUGGGAAAUAUUUCUCCCAAUCAAAUCAAGACCCUCUAGAAUGACACCAUCUUUGCAAAUUUGAUGCAUCAAGAAACCUUAAAUUCUAAA